rnacentral:rRNA from 1 species
CGGACGGGUGAGUGAUGUCUGGGAAACUGCCUGAUGGAGGGGGAUAACUACUGGAAACGGUAGCUAAUACCGCAUAACGUCGCAAGACCAAAGAGGGGGACCUUCGGGCCUCUUGCCAUCGGAUGUGCCCAGAUGGGAUUAGCUAGUAGGUGGGGUAACGGCUCACCUAGGCGACGAUCCCUAGCUGGUCUGAGAGGAUGACCAGCCACACUGGAACUGAGACACGGUCCAG